rnacentral:rRNA from 1 species
CCUACGGGAGGCAGCAGUAAGGAAUAUUGGUCAAUGGACGCAAGUCUGAACCAGCCAUGCCGCGUGCAGGAUGACGGCCCUCUGGGUUGUAAACUGCUUUUAUACGGGAAGAAACCUCUGGUUGCGAUCAGAGCUGACGGUACCGUAAGAAUAAGGACCGGCUAACUUCGUGCCAGCAGCCGCGGUAAUACGAAGGGUCCAAGCGUUAUCCGGAUUUAUUGGGUUUAAAGGGUGCGUAGGCGGCUUAUUAAGUCAGUGGUGAAAGACUUCAGCUUAACUGAAGAACUGCCAUUGAUACUGAUGAGCUUGAAUAUACUUGAGGUGGGCGGAAUGUGUCAUGUAGCGGUGAAAUGCUUAGAUAUGACACAGAACACCGAUUGCGAAGGCAGCUCGCUAAAGUAUGAUUGACGCUGAUGCACGAAAGCGUGGGGAGCAAACAGGAUUAGAUACCCUGGUAGUCCACGCCCUAAACGUUGAUAACUCGAUGUGUGCGAUAUACAGUACGCGUCCAAGCGAAAGCAUUAAGUUAUCCACCUGGGAAGUACGGUCGCAAGAUUGAAACUCAAAGGAAUUGACGGNNGAGAGNGCGAGGCGACACGAGGGAGAGG